CGUUGGAUUUAUUUGUACGAAACUUACUUUCCGAAUUUGGCAAAGUUAAUUAACGCCACGGACCGAUAUUGCAGAUUGGCUUGUACAUUUUUAGGCAGUGACAAUUUAUUUUUGGAGUCGGAGAUACACAACUUGUUGGAAGCCUGCCUACAGCACAUCAUUAAAAAUCACGAGGAGAAUAUUAACUUUAACAGGCCGAUUGAAGGUUUAAAUAAUUUCCAAGACUUUUACACGCAACUCUUGGAGCAGUAUCAAGGUGUGAGUUAUGGGGACGUGCUAUUCGGUAACUUUGUUCUGUUACCUUUAAUUCAAAGGCACAGUGUGCGGUAUCGCAAAACUCUAUGGUCGGAGUACGCCGGCAUCGUUCAAAUAUUUAAUGUGACGGCGGAACAAGUGGUUUGUCCCGUGGAAUUGUUUUUAACACCUGAGGAAACCGACAUCUCGCUACUCAAAUGUUAUAGACGAGCUUUAGUUACAGGACAAAUUCGAAAACAUUCAAUUUUGCAUACUAUUGCAAAUCAUCAUGUAAAUAGGUUUUUAUCAAGGAAAAAUGAAAAUAAAAUGCAGGUAUGACUUGGUUUUUCAUAGGAAACAUGUUCUUGUUCCUUCCAUGUUAGCAGUCGUCCUAGAAAAAUGCAACUUAUGAGACCAUCCCUCGUAUU